rnacentral:tRNA from 1 species
ACCGCCAUUAUCUCAUCAGGAAAGAGCGCCAGCCUUCGAAGCUGGUUGCGCGGAGUUCGGGUCCCCGAAGGCGGUCCAU